AAGCUGUACCUGGUAAAAUUGAAGAUGAGAAUAAUGUGAAGUAAAAUUAAGGUGAAGAUGAACCAAAGUGGAGUUUGAUCAGUGGGAAGUGUAUCCAUAUCAAUAAAUAUAAAAUUUAAAAAUUACACAAAAAUUAUCAAACUAUGUGAUGAGUUAUAAAAUAAAAAUAAAAAAGUAAAAUGUACAAGCUUAAUAAAGAAUAUUAUUCCCUUUUAGCCAACUUAAUAAAGAAAAAAAUUAUAUCAUGCAAAAGUAUUCUAAUGCCUUGACAUAACUUCGAUAUAUGAGUUGUGCAUUUGCUUUGAUAUCUCAAAUAAAGAAUAAUAUGUUGAUUUGUAUUCAAGUAUCAUGUAAAAUAUAGUAUGUUCUCAUAGCCUUGAAAUAAAUUCUAUUUGCUCAAAACACCUAAUAUAAAUUUCAUGUUAAUUUUAUUAAAAUUGAAAAAUGCGAAAAAUAAUAAGAUUCUCCAUAUAUUGUUAGAUAAAAUUAACAUAUAAAGAAUUUUAUUAGAUUAGUAAUAUUAAAAUCCAACAAAAUUUAUUUCUAGAAAAAAAAUAAAUGAUAUAAAUUUAAUCAUUGUAUCAUUAUGAUAUAAGUUAAAUUUCCUUAAACAUUAUUUAUAUUGUUAAUGUACUCAAAAUAAGUUAAAUUAUAUCAUUGUAUCAUUCUGAUAUAAGUUAAAUUUGCUUAAACAUUAUUUAUAUUGAUAAUGUACUCAAAAUAAGUUAAAUUAUCUACGUUGUUAGAGUAUUAUUUAGCUGCAAAAUUCUACUGUAGGAUAUAGUGUUGAGUACAAACCCAUAAUCAAAUAUUAGUAAACAACAUUAAAUAGAAAAUUAUAAUUUGAGAUUUUGUGUAGGAUAUAGUAUUGAGCAACACCCGUAAUCAAACAUUAGUAAACAACAUUAAAUAGAAAAUUAUAAUUUGAGAUUUUAACCAAUAUAAAGAAUGUGCACUUUGUUUCGAUUAUGUAAACUAAAUUGAUAAAACGUGUAUGUUUUUUGCAUGUCACACUUAUAAAAGUUCCCAAAUAUUUUUUAGAUAUUUCAAUAUAGUUAGUAAUCUUCCUUAAAUAUGUAGUAUACGUUUGCAUUUUUUUUUUUAAAUCUUAAAUAUUAGGAGCUUUUACAUAUAUUAUACAAGGAAAUAUAUAAUAACAAUAAUUGUAGUUGAUUUAAAAUCCUAAACUUUAGGAAAAAAUUACCAAAUGACUAUUUUGUCUAGUAUGACCUUUAUUUUUUAAGGAUAAAAAAGGCGAAUGAUAUUUUGUUAAGGGCCAUCGUGCUUUUAAUAUAGUAUGGAUAAAUGUCUUCACUGUUAUCUUUUUGGCUAAAAAAUGCCCUUACGACUAACGGCCAUGUUAGAUAAAAGAAAUUAAUUAAUUUUCACGUGUCAUAACGGAAAGAAGGUCAAAAUUGUCUCAAAACUAUUGGAGUUGGUACAAUAAUACCCCCAUCUCAAAAAUAUCUCUCCCCCACACCCCCUCCACCCUCCCCCCUCCUCUACCGUGUGUGCGUUCAUAUUCUUCUUGUUCUUUUCAUUCUUUUUUUGACCUUGCACUCUUUUUGAAUAAUCACUAUAAACGUUAUUAAAGUUUUAUUUUCAAACAACUAAAAUUUUUUGUCACUAAUACUUUACAUCAUACAACUUUCAAAGACCCUGUUAGGCAAAAAAAAGUUAAUUAAUUUCCAUGUGUCAUCGUCCCAUUGGCCUAACUACUCACCUAAAUUAAAAUAAACUCACCCACAUUUUAAGACCCUUUUCGUUUGUUUCUUUCUCCUCUUUCUUUUAAAAAAUAUUUCACCAACUAGAACUCUCAUACACCCAUUUUAUUCCCUAAGCAAACAAAACUCUCUCGUAUAGUUAAUCACCUUCCUCUUCAUAUUUCUCUGUAUAUUAAAUGUACACAUCAAUACUCAUAUUUUUUUCUAUCACAGAAAUACUAUUCAUCAUCAAAAAAUUUUACUACACUUUACUGCUUCUUACAAUAAUUUUAAUCAAGUAUUUAUUACAGUCAGAUUCACCAAUAAGUCGUAUUCUCUCAUAUUCUCAAGCAUAUGAUCUCAAAUAUUUCUCUUGAUUUAACUGUCUCUUUUUAAAAAUUGGCGAUGUUGAUAUAACCUGAAAAGCAUCCUCGUACAAUAGCUUAAUUUAUGGACAUGACCGGAUGUUCAGACUAUGGUGAGCCAAUGAAGAAGAAAAAGGUCGAUGUCCAAACAGAGACCAAAUAAAACAUUGGUAUAAUCAAAAUUGGAUGUGGAGUUGUUAGAAAAUAUACAACAAGAAAUUACAAAUGCUCAAUGAUCAUUACUAUUGACACCCGUGAAAGUUGUAUGACGUAAGUAUUGGUGACUAAAUAUUUUAGUUGCCGGAAAAUAAAACUUUAAUGAUGUUUGUAGUGAUUAUUCAAAUAGAGUGCAAUGUCAAAAAAAGGAUGAGAAGAACAAGAAGAAUAUGAACGCACACACGCUUGGGGGGGAGGGGGGGGGGGAUUUUUUGAGAUGAGGGGUAUUAUUUACCAACCAAUAGUGUAGGGACAGUUUUGACCUUUUUUCCGUUAUGACAUGUGAAAUUUUUUCUAUCUAACAUGGUCGUUAGUCGUAAGGGCAUUCUUGAGCCGAAAAAAUAAUGGUGAGUGCAUUUUUUUCAAAAUAGAUAGACGAAGAAUAUUAUUGUACCAACUCUAAUAAUUUAAGGGCAAUUUGAACCCUUUUCCGUAAAAAUACUUACAAUCAUUAACUAAAUAAAUAUUAGUUUGGAGAACGACGUUACGGUGCAGAAUUUUGCUUUCAUGCCAUAGCCAUCUAUGAUUAAGGUCGAAUUUUGGCCUCUUAUAGGAGACAGAAAGGAUAUUUACAGAGUACAAUUUAAAUCUCUUUUAGAAGACUUGAGGGAAGUCGGUACUAAAGACAGUCUUUUGAUAAGCAAUAUUCUAUAUAUGGAUCAGAAUGGAGAUUCUUUUCCAAUUUCCUGAGUUAAAAUGGCACGGGCUACAAGUUUUCGAUCCGAUCAUUUAAAAAUAAUUAGUAUUUUUAAAAUUAUUAAAGGAUUAUUAUUAUUUUGCUGCAAUAUAGAUCGGUCAAAUAUAAUAUACUGGAAAUCGAUGCACAUGUGUAUGAACUUCCGGUAUAUUAUGCUGGAACUCAAUACGUGAAAAGUUUCAGCAUAAUACUAGAGAUUGAAGCACCUAUAACUUCCAGUAUACUUAACUUAUGCUGGAACUCGAUUAUAAUAUACUGGAGUUCCUCAGAAAUACUAAUGCUGAAAUUCCAAUAUAUUAUGCUGGUGUAUUUUCCAGAUUUUAAACAAUAUUUUCAUUUAAAUUUAUUUUUACAUAAAAAAUAACUAAAUUACAAAUACUUUUGAAACUAUAGCUAUUUUUGCAUGACCAAGUAUUUUUGAAUUUCUCUAUUUCCUGACCUUCACUUCAAUAGGCCUAAUUGAAAAUCUGUCAACUAUUUGUUAAUAGGCCCAUGUUUCCCAUAGAAUUAGUAGAGCAGGCCCAUAAUUUGUCUCAUGUUACCCUAGUGAGUUAAAUGUGUUGGUGAAAGACGAAAUUUAUUCAAUUUCUUUAAAGGCAAAAUUUAGCAUACUGAACUAACUUUAAUUUUAAAUUAUGGUCCUUAGAGAAGGCCAUAUGUUACCAUAUAUAUAAUCUUAUUAAAAGCACGAAUAACGUAAACCAAAAUGUAGAAAAUAAAUUUUCCAUUUCUAUGAGAACAUUAACUUGGUUGACUUUUUAAUUGGUCGACACAGAGCAAAAGAAAUCAAGCUUGUAAGUCGAUGAAGGGCCCACAAUCCUUGGAAAAUUACGUUCCAAAAUAAUAAUCAAUAAAUAUAAAUUUUAAUAUAUUAUUAUAUUAUACAUGUAUGUGAUAUUGAAAUUUUGAUACUUCGAUAUACUGAAAUACCAAAAUACCAAAAUAUUUAAGGGGAUUUUUACCUAUCUAUACCAUAUAGCAAACCUUAUUACCAAUAAUGUUCACCAAUUGUUAUUUACCCGUGUUGUCUACAUUAUCCCUACAAAAUAUAUAUACCAAGCCCAUAAAUAGCUAGAUUCUACCAAAAAAACGUGCGAGAUUGUAGGGGGAGGACUGUAUGUGAUCCUAUCAGCAUUUAAUUCGAAAUUUAAAACGGAAGUAAAUUUGUAGCUGCGUAAAUCGCUCAUUCUCCAUAUAUUUUCCAUCAUUGAUAUCCAUUAAAAAGCUUGAAAGCUUGGAAUUUAAAUUUGAAUUUUCAAAAAUCGUUAUUUUUUUGGAUUGGGUGUUGUUGUAAAUAAUUCGGAAUAUGUUUAGGAGUUUAUAUCUCAAUUUCGAGGGGUUUUGGUGAAGAUUAUACUUGGUUUUGACUGAAUUUCAUAUUGAAACUCGUCGAAGAAGAAGAAGGCGACAUAUUUUCAGAAAUUGUAGUUAAAUUGUAGAAUUGUAGAUAAAUUGUAGAUACAGUAUAGAUAAAUUGUAGAUAAUUUGUAGAUACAUUGUAGAUUGGGAAGACUAAAACUUCUACAAGUCUUUUACAAUUAUGUCGAAAAUGCCAAUUAUGCUACCAUUGAAAUGAGGAUUGUACUAUUAAGAUUCAAUGUAUUCAGUUUGUAUAUAUAUAUUGUAGAUAAAAUUUCUGCAAAUAAAAUACAAAUCAGUUUAAGUAUUGUAUAAAGUUGUAUUGUUUUUAAGAGUAUCUACAAAAUUACUACAUUUAUACUACAAUUAAACUACAAUCUUGUGUCAUAAAAAAAUGUUGAUAACAAAAUUUGGUCUUCAUCUACAAAAUUUCUACAUACAAGCUACAAGAACUAUAGUACGUACCUUUAAUAAAAUUAAUAGUAAGAAAUAUUUAAUCUUGUGUUUAGAGAACUGAACACAUUUCUUUUCUCGAUUUUUCACAAAAUUAAAUUACCAUGGAAUUAACUGAAGGUAAAUUGGAUUGGCAACGGAAUAGUACUGGAUUGAGGUCCGAAAGGAUAGCUAGUUUAACAAGAUAGAAAAUUUGGUUUUGAAAUUUCAAUUUAUGUACCAUAAUUCAAAUUAAUGGUAUAAUUAUUGCUUCAUUUAUUCUAGGAUGAUUUUAGGAGCAUAUAUUCCCUUUUCCCUUUUUUCAUCUUCUCUUUCCUAGUGUUCUGUUUGGUUGCAUAUCUUUCACCAAUUCUAACUCGGCUAAAACUUACACGGCUAAAACUUACACGGCUAAAGAGUUAGAGGCACAAAUAAUGGAUAAACUAUACAGGAACACUGAAAUUAUAUUUAUAAUUAGCAUAUGACAAUGUCAAGGCAAUAAAAGUAGCAUUUUUCUUUCGAAUUCAUUUUAAUAUUGCGGCUAGAAAUUAUAAAGGCUAUAUAUAUGGGGGACUUUUACCAUGAAGUAAUUGUAAUUUUUGCGAACACUUCCGUUUCAUAUCUUUUUGCAGUGCUAUAAAGGCUAUAUAUAUGGAGGACUUUUACCAUGAAGUAAUUGUAAUUUUUGCGAACACUUCCGUUUCAUAUCUGUUUGCAGUGCUAUUGGCAUUGGUAUUUCAAUUGUAGCAUAAUUGGCAUUUUCGACAUAAUUGUAAAAGAUUUGUAGAAGUUUUAGUACUUAACUAUAAUUUGACUACAAUAUAUCUUCUUCUUCUUCGACGAGUUUUCAAUCUGAAAUUCAGUCAAAACCAAGACUAAUCUUCACCAAAACCCCUCAAAAUUGAGAUAUAAACUCCUAAUCAUAUUUCGAAUUAUUUACAACAACGCCCAAUCCAAACAAAUAAUGAUUUUUGAAAAUCCAAAUUUGAAUUCAAAGCUUUCAAGUUUUUAAUGGCUACCAAUGGUGGAAAAUAUAUGGAGAAGGAGAGAAUUACACUGCAAUAGAUUUUCUUCCGUAUUAAGUUUCGAAAUUAAUGGUGAUAGAAUCACCAUUAAAUGUGAUAAAGUUUGAAGCAAAGAGUGCUAUUCCGAAUUAUUUACAACAACACCUAAUCCAAACAAAUAAUGGUUAUUGAAAAUUCAAAUUUGAAUUCAAAGCUUUCAAGCUUUUUAAUGGUUAUCAAUGGUGAAAAAUAUAUGGAGAACGAGAGAAUUACGCUGCAAUGGAUUUUCCUCCGUUUUAAAUUUCGAAAUUAAUGGUGAUAGAAUCACCAUUAAAUCUGAUUCCUACAAAUUUGGAGCCUUUUUAGGAUAGAAUAUAUCUAUUUUUUGGUUUGGUACAUAUUUUGUAGCAAAACUAUGGACUAGGCGGUAAAUACAAUAUUAUGAACAUUUUUGGUAAUAAGAUUUGCUAUAUGGUAUUAAAACUAUGGAAUAGGCGGAUAAAUACAAUAUUAUAAACAUUUUUGAUAAUAAGAUUUAUUAUAUGGUAUAAAUAGAUAAAAAUCCCGCUAAAAAUCCCAUACAACUCUAUUUCUAUUUUCCAGCCCAAUAAACAUAAGCCCAAACCCCUAGUUCCCUAAUUCCUUAGCGCCCAGCAGACUUACGUUAGGUUUCCCUUUUCUAUUUUCUAACCUUAGCAGAGAUCGACGGCGACUUCACGACCUCGGCGAGCGGCGACGGUGGCUCAGCUCCUCGGCGACUGCUUAUUUGCUCCUUGCUAACAUUCAUUCGACGAUUUUCAAGUCUUCAACAGGUUCAUAACUUCUUCAUUCUUCAUUAUUCAAUUUUGAGGUUUUAUGUUAGUCUUCAACUGCUUCUUUUGUCCCUUUUCACCUUAUGCUUUCACUGGAUGGUUGGGUGGAUAAAGAUACUUGUUUUAUCACUUUUCCUUUUGUGAAAAUAUGUACUAUUUCACUUUCGGAAGCUUGUUCACUGCCUAAACGAAAUCCUAUUUUCCAGAACAUAUUCAGUUGAUUCAUGAUUGAGUGAACUGAAAAUCCCUUCUUUUUGGUACUCAAUAGACUUAUUUGUUGACAGUGGUAUUUGUUGUGUUGGUGACUCAAUCACAUGAUUAAGUACAUGAGCCAUGCAUCUCACUUUUACUCCUUUAAUCUGUUGCAAUUACUGUCCCUCGUUUCUCUGCUUAGGAAUUGCAUCAGGAUUAUUACUGUGCCUCGUUUCUCUGCUAUGGAAUUUCAUUGGAAUAUGUUGCCUGUAACCAUAGCACCACACGGCUGAUCAUGGUAGCAGGUGAAUGCAGAGUUGCUACUUGGCUUUUUGAUCUCCAAUUAUUGUUAAGUCAUAAAAUAUAGAAUUUGGAAAACAUGAUUUCAUAAAUCUCCUGCUGUCUUUUUGCAAUGUUCACAUUUUCUUUUCAGGAUCCAAAUUGCAAACUUGCAAUUGUUAAAUAUAGGUCAUUGCACUCCAGGAAUUGUUUUUUUACUCUAUGUAAUUAUGAAGGUUCUAUUUUCUAAGUUUGCCUUUGAGUGGUUGAAUUUUCUGUAGAAAUCUGAAGAGACGUUAGGCAAUAGGCAUAACAUUAUCUUGGGAGAUUUGAAAGACUUUGGUAUGAUGCCGAAACUGUGCCGAACCAAAUAAGAAAAUAACGAACCGUAUCGAAGUACUUUGGUACGGUAUUUGGAUGGACAAUUGAUAUACCGAAUACUGAAGUACCGAACCGUAGUCAUUAAAUACCGCAAGUACCGAACGCUGCGGGUGUCUUGAAAUAAACCAAAUUGGACUUUUCUUCGACCUUCAGCCCUCCACUCCCUGGCGCCGCUUUUGCUUCUCCAUCUCCUCCGGGGCCGAAUUCCUCAGUUUUCUCCUUCACCGGCGUAAUCGAAGUGUAUCUCCUCGUUCUAUCUCACUCCCUCUACAUAUUAUCAUAUAUCUUUCUGUCUAAUACACAAUGUGACCUUUUUUUUUUCAAGCUACUUUAAUGAAAAAACGAUUUUUUGGUGAAUUAGACUAUAAUAUUCUUGGUGCUCUCGGGCUAUAAAGAAGCUUAACUCCAAUAUCUUACUUUCCUGUGGGUUUUUACUAGUUAAUGUACUGGCCGGAAUUUGUGAUUGUAUACUAACUGGAUUUUCUUUAAAAUCGAUUUUAUAUAAAAGCCUUUUAUUUGCGCAACCAUCAAAUUGCUGAUUCGUUGAUUGAAUAGGACUGUUUUGUAUAUUGGUUCCAGAUGGCUAUUAUUGCUGGUUUGUAUUGCGAAAGACUGGUGCGUUCUUGCUUGAAUGGAUAAGGGCUCAGUCGUUUUUUGCAUCUAUGUGGAUAACAAGUUGAAAUUUGAAAAUCUUAAUGUGGUUUUAAGACUGAAAAUUCACUGGUAAUGGACAUCUUUUUGAUAAUAAAAUUUCCGUAAAGAUUAAAGUAAUAGCUGUGAACUUAUACUAUUGUGUAGUUCUGUAACUCGUGAUAUGGUUUUCAGUAUGUGCUGUUGUCUUGUUGAUAGAUAUCUUUUAAUAAACAGACUUGAGUAUUUUUAGCUGUUUCUUAUCUUGAAUAAGCAUUUUGAUGAGUGAUUCAAGGGUAUAUGGCUGGUUACCAUAGAACCUUUUUUUUGCUGAUAAGGGCUUUUCCACAUGAUGAUGUUUCAGAGGAAAUUUCGGCAAUAUUCAAUUAUCAAACAUAAUGGGAAUGGUAUUACCAGCUGAGCAGGCAGGCUAUGCUGAGAUGGAGAAUGUUGAGAUUACAGAUACAGAGUUGUUCUAUCAUGUUAGAGGUGCUCUUAAAUCCGCUCUCCAGGUUGGUCUCUCAAAGAACAUAUUUUGAAUAAAAAUAAAAUUAUACACUGAUAAGUGCUUAGGAUUGGGUUUGGAUGCCCAUGCCACUGCAUGGGAAAUCAAGUUUGAACUGUAUGAAUCAACAGAUUGAAUUUGUUUCACAGUAAUCCUUUGUUUCUCAUUUUUUGUUUUGGCUAAGAUUGACGUUAAUCUACAGCUUUUCAUUCUGUUCUAUGCGCCGAGGGUCGCUUGGAAGCAGCCUCUCUGCCCUUUUGGGUAGGGGUAAGGCUGUCUACAUAUUACCUUCCCCAGACCCCACCUGGUGGGAGUAUGCCCAUGCCCCACUGCAUGGGAAAUCAAGUUUGAACUGUAUGAAUCAACAGAUUGAAUCUGUUUCACCGUAAUCCUUUGUUUCUCAUUGUUUUUUUUUGGCUAAGUUACUCAUCAAAAAAUAAGAGGAAAAGUAUCUUUCCUGCUAAGAUGACUAUUUCAAAUGUUUGCUUGAAGACAAGCCUAGGUGCUUCAGAUUGAUUGACCUUGGUUGUCUUCCUUGGAGAUUAAGAGCUGAAAGUUUUGAUUAGAUACUUUUUUUUUGGAGUUUGGGCAAGAUGUUAUUAUAAUAGUAGAAGAUGUGACAAAAACUAAGAAAUUGUCACAUCAGAUAGGGGCAGCCCAUAAUCUACUGAGUAUGAACUGUGCUCCAAGCUGUUCCUUGAGGAUUUCUCAUUUUAGAAAAAGAUUGACGAGGUGAGGUGCAUAACCCUUGCAUGAUUUUGACUUUAGAUAGAAAAUAGAGGGAAAUUACUAGGGCUUUUGUGAAGGUGAUGUAUAUCGAAUUGAGAAGAAAGAGGGCUCAGGUUCGAGUAUUAUGCAUCUGAUAUGGUAUUUUAAGUGUUAACUGUUAAGUUCUGAAUGGACGUACAUAUGGUUAGUUAGACAUGUUCUUUUCUCUCCCUCUCUUACUCCCUAUAUUUUUCCUUUUUUUUUUUGGUUUGGUUUUGGGGGCGGGGGGGGAGUGGUGGUGGCGGUGAGUGGGACGUUACUUCUCUCAUUUAUAUUCAGCAAGUACUUGCCUGCGAAAUGCUUUCAUUUAUUCUUUGUGCUUAAAUUACUGAUUAUUUUUUGUCUGUUUCACUUUAUUUACUUUCCUGGCACACUUCUCUCAUUUAUAUUCAGCAAGCACUUGCCAGCCAAAUGUUUUCAUUUAUUCCCUACCGCUUAAAUUACUGAUUUUUUUGUCUGUUUCACUUUUUUUUCUCCUGGCAAACAUCUUCACAGAUGUGAAUUGUCUGUACCUUCCUAGUUGCUUUUUUCACUGCUGCAACUUGUGCAGCACAAUUUUUAUGAAUUGCGCUUCUUUAUAGUUUCCAUAUAUUUGUUAUAGCACUGCAGAGUUAAUUUUAUGGCUGAAUGUUGCGUGUAUUAGGGUGAUCCGGACAAAUAUAACCAGCUUGUUGGGGUUAUGCACUGUAAGGAACGCCUUGUACCUGAAGAGGUGGCCCUACUAGUGGUAUGUUUCCCUUGGAGAUUGCACAUGCAAUCACUUUUUUUUGGUGGUUUCUUUUGCUUCAUGUUUUAAUUCUCAUUUCUUUGGUCUUUGCAUUUCAGACAUGUUUAAAAGCUUUGUCAGGAUCAGUUUCUUGUCUAGACAUUGUUCACCAUCAAAGUCUUCUUUCAUCUGUAAGUUCUAAAUAGCUGUGUUAAUAGUGUGCGUCUUUUAAAUAAGAAUAGAGGUUGAUAAGAUUGUAUAUUUUAAUGUCUUAUUCGCCUCUAGAUUCUAGGAAUGAGCAUGUGGAACUAUGGGACAGAUGUAAUGGAUGCUUUGAUGGAAUUACUUAUAUCCUUGGUAUGUGACUUUAGUGCUGCAAUCUUCCAUGUUUGUGUCUUAUUGUGCAUAUGAUCAUGAGUCUUCUCCUAUGCUGUAGGCUACAUCUGGUGGGCAGUAUGUCGAUUUGUGCUUGGAAAUGCUUGUGAACAAUUUUGUGCCUCCUCCUUCAUUCAUAUCGUUCUUGAAUCAGCCACGUGGCAUUUUACGAAAGGGUCAAGUCAUUGAUCGUGUCCAUUCAACUUUAAUAGACAUUGCAGAGUUAGUUCCUCUCUCCCCCUUGAGACUUGAGAAGAUAGUAAAGGAGAAGAUGCAGAAGAUGCCAAUCAAUUACACAAAGGAACCAGUAAGUGCAGAUUCAUGCUUUCUUUACAAAGAAGAUUCUUUCACUAUGCAGAUUAUUGAAUGUUCCGGACUCUGGUCCUUGUGACAUUUUUUUGAAUUAGUGAACCAUGGAUCACCAGAACCUUGUGUUGGUAAUCUAUUUCUUCUGUGUUGUGCUCCUUAUUGCUGGAAGCUCCUAAAUUCUUAUCCAUGUUUUUCUUCUUUACCUGAAGUUCAUUAUGGCAUAUGUGGAGAACAUGUUAAGACUGGAGGGUGGAGCAAUUGGUGGUCUUGUUGGGAGAACAAUGCUUGUGGCAAUUAUGGAUUGGCUGAUAUCUUUACCUGAAGUUCAUCAUCGCAUAUGUGGAGAACAUGUUAAAACUGGAGGGUGGAGCAAUUGGUGGUCUUGUUGGGAGAACAAUGCUUGUGGCAAUUAUGGAUUGGCUGAUAGAUCUGGAUGUAAGUCGUUUGAAAUUGAAGCUUCGCUCUAUCACUGUGUAGAAGUUGUUGCACCAACUUAAUUUUCUUCUUGUCCUUGAGUUUCUUAGGUAGAUAUUGCAUGGGAUGAAAUCUUAAAUGAGGAUUUCACCAAAUGCAUCUUCGAUAUGGAGCUGGAAGAUCUGGAUGGUCCAGUAGAUGAUGGUCAGCAAGAUGGUGACCAGGUGAUUUUCAUCCUUUUACUGAUAUUCUUCUGUAUGUUACUGUUACCAUUGCCACUAAGAGUUGUUUCUUUGACUCUUUUUUUUCUGGGAUAGUGGGGUUGAUGGUGAGUUCUUCUGUAUGUUAGUGUUACCAUUGCCACUAGAGUUGUUUCUUUGACUCUUUUUUUUUCUGGGAUAGUGGGGUUGAUGGUGAUAUAUGUUUUCAUUUCUGUUGGAGCUGAGAAAAAGAAAAUCAUGUAUUUGUGUAAAAAUAUUAAUGUUGCAGUUAUUUGGUUCACUUUGCCUUUUCUUUAACCGGAAGAGCUUUUAUAAUGGUAGUAUGGAAGGAAUCGAAGGAAACAAAUAGGAGAUCGUUACAAGUGGGUGCCACUUGAGAGUGAUUUUGUACAUGUCCAGAGUAGUCUUGUGCCUCUAGUUUCUUUUUGAUGCACACAUGAUACCUGUUUGUAUGGAUGAUUGGGUGAAUUUUAUACAGAACCAUGUUUAGCCUAGCUUUCUCUACUUCUUGGUGUACUAUGUGUAUAUGGGGAUUUCCCGAUAUUUAUAGAACCAUAUUCCUUAUAAUAAAAACUGGUCUUAAUCUUGAAGAAUCCAAGUAGUUAAAGAAUACCUGAUGAUUCAGAAGAGGAAUUCAUAACAUUUCUCUUUAAAUCUGAGUCACCCUUGAGAAAAAUUUGCCUUUUUUUUAUUAAAUAAGAUUCUUCAUUGCAGGCAUCCAGAACAUGCAAAGUUACAAGAAGGUAUUGAGUUAGCUCCAUUACAACGAAAGAAUUAAUCUGCUUAGGGAGCUAACUCAAUGAAACAAAAGUAAGGAAAUAAUUGAGUUAAGCUAGACUCAUAGAUCCAAUGAAUCUAGAAGAGGAAUUACAUUAUUUACAGGUGUUAGAGAUCUCCCUAACUAGUCAAGAGUACUAUUUUCUUCCAAAUUAUUUUCCUUAAUAAAGGUCCUAUUUCCCACAGUUCUAUUUUCACCCUUCCUAUAUUCAUCUACAGACAUUUCCUUUUUCAUGUUGUUGAUCUUCUGAUCAAAAGAUUGUGAACAAUUAUAUUAGGGUCCAUUAUAUUCAAAAUUGUCAUCAAUUAGAGAGAAUUGCAAAUACUGUAUUACCGUCUAUGGCAAGUUUUUUUUAUUUUUGUUCUUGUAAAUGUUUAUUUUUUCCUGUGGUAUGCGGUUGUAUUCCUUUAUCCGCUUUUUGAUUAAGCUAGUAUUUGAUCGUAUCUUGUAUACAUACAAUAUACUAGGCAUAUCGAAAGUACUUAUUAUAAGGAAAAUACAAAGAAAAUAAAUACUUUUGCUUUCAGCUGUUGAUUGAUCAAAUUAUGUAUUUCUCUGUUAAAAAAUUUCAUUAAUCUCUAUGAUUCUUUUAUAAGUAAAAUUAUUGGAGCGUUUAUCAGAAGCUCGAUCUGCUGACCACAAGGUUAAGAGCAUUUACUGACUGAGCUCAUCCAUCUUUUUGAUUUGGUUUUUGCCAUUGUUCUUUAUAUAGUAACACACUUUUUACUCUCAGCUCCGAAUUUCUUGGAUGGAACGGCUUGGAAAUGCCAGUGCUCAAAAAUUGGAUAGCUUGAUGGUGCUUACCUUUGAACACCUUAACUUUUGCAAAGAGAGUGGACGCCUGAGUCAGGUAAAUUGGACACAUCUUAGUCUACUAUCUAGUUUCUAACUCUACUUGCUUUUCUUACAUGUAUUUGUCUUUCAAAUGGUGUAGGUUUUUGAGACUCUUCUCCAGUCUUUUCAGCAUACUGUUUUGACGGCAUACAAGUCUAAAUUUGCCCAGGUAACAUGCAUAUAUCAUCUCUGACACUUGGGCUAGUCUUUCGUUUCGUCUACUCCUUUUCCCAGCACUUCUCGAACUUGAUGUACACUAUUCUUCUUUGUUUCUUUUUCUUACUUCUCUGUGUACCUUGUGCCCUUUUGAAAAUUAAACUUAAACUUCUUGAUCCUGAAAUUGCAGUUUGUGAUGUUUUAUGCCUGUACCCUGGAUCCUGAAAACUGCGGCAGGAAAUUUGCUGAUACACUAUUUGAUAUAUUUAAGAGCGGUAUCUAUCCACAAUGGAGGUGAGGAUUAAGAGUUACUGAAUCUUCGGCUCCUUUUUCUUGCUUUUCCCACCUGUUGCACCUUGAUACUCUAUUGUUGAUCAAUUAGCUUAAUCAUAUCUUAUAGAUACAUAAGCAACCGCUUGCUCAGUUCGCUAUUCAAUCUGAGUGUUUAGAGGAUUGCUCUUUAUGUAAAUUGGUCGACGAGCUUAGGGUUCUUUCAUCUUUGAACAUAAUUAUGGAAGCUAAUAAACAGUCUCUGCUCCCUGUUUAGGGAUAUUUUUGUUCUAAUUUUGAACUCGACUGUCCUCUCCUUUUUAAUAUGCUUCCUAGGAGGUUUGCUAGUUUGAGUUUUGUUGGGACACUGCUUGGGGUCUCAACAUUGGUCCCUCUAUGAUCCUGUCACUGAAUUUACAUGCACGCAGAGUAGUAUUCUGUACUAAGGUUAGCAUACUUUCUGUAUAUGCUGUUUAGGUAAAAUGCCACCAAAUUGUGGUCCUUAAAAGUCAUAGAUUACUGUGCUUCAGUAUCUUGUCUGUUGUGUUGGUGAUCUUGUUUUUCCAAUUUCAAAUGCUACUGAACAGAUUUGAUACUCUCUGGGAGUGGAUAAAUUUGAUAGUUCUUUGCUUGCUAGUUAUACAUUUUCUAAUGGUUGUUGGGAGGUACUAAUACUUUUAUUGGUUACUUGCAGAAUGAGUGCUGUUGCCUAUCUUGCUAGUUAUUUGUCUCGUGCAAAGUUUUUGUCGAUCUCAUCUGUUGCUGAAUAUGCAGAAAGGUUUACUGAUGAAUCCAACCAUCUUCAGCUUUGCAAAUAAUAUUUUGUAGUUUUAAGUUGCUUCCCUUGGUCAAUAACAAAUUGAGGCACGUCUCAAGUCAUGGAUUUCUUUCUUUUUGUGCGAGGAUCAGUUUGGUUGAAUGGUGUUCCACUUAUUGCUCCAACCAGAGUGGUGGCAUCAAUCCAAAAGCUCACAAGGAAUUCUAUGCUGCGUGCCAGGUAUUUGACAGCUUUGUUGUAGUCAAAACCUUUAAUGGUCUGCCCCACUCCCUCACACACAGAGGCCCUUGUUCUUUUUUGUUAAGUUUUAUGUGGUGGUUUCUAUCUGUAAGUGAAAGAUGACUUCUGUAGUAUUGUAGUGUCAAUCUUGAGACCAAGAGAAUAGAUCGUGUCAAUUUUUUAAUGGCAGAUGAUUCUCUUUAAGUACUCUUGGUAUUGGCUAUUAUAUUGUUUCAGGAGUGCAGGGCUUUUUUCUUCUGUUAAAGGCUUUCCGAAUUAUAUCCCUGGGGCUAAUUUUAUUUAUAUGCCAUGUGAGUGCUGGGAAUGGGAAAGGAAAGUGUUGGAAAGUUAACUUCCACAUUCUUUUGUGCAUUGUGGGAAACUUGUGAGAGAAGUGGUUUAUAACUUUUUCUUUAAAAAGACUUCUUCCACUUUAAUUUUGCAAAACAUGUAGGAAACUUGAAGGAAUUUUAACUUUACUUCAGCAAAAAAAUUUCAGAAACUUCGUUGACAUCCAAACAAAUUGUUUCUGAUUCUGUUCAUUGUAAUGCAGGCCAUGAUGUACAUACUUUGUUUUCGCAUGAGAUCAAUGCUUGCUAUUCCUCGUAUCAGGUCACGGCUCUCAAAGCACAUAGAGGAUAUCCUGAGGCAUCCAUUGAGCCCAUUAAUGGUAAUGCAUAAAUGCAUUCACACACACAUACACUCUCUCUCUAUGGAUUACUUUUGUUUUGUGUUUUAUUUUAUUUUUUAUUAGUUCGUGUGGAUAGACUAUAUGUGCUGUAAGAUUAAAGAGCAUAGGAAAAAUAAAUUUGAGUGAGAUUAGGUGAUUCAAUGGAAUUACAGCCCUUUCAGAUAUAGAGGUUAGAUCGACUAUGUUGUAUGGGGCCGAGUGUUUGCCGGUCAAGAACUCUCAUAUCCAGAAGACGAGAGUAGCUGAAAUGAGGAUGUUGAGAUGGAUGUGUGGUCAUAUCAGGUUAGAUAAGAUUUGGAAUGAAGUUGUAAGGGAGGCGAGGGUGAGAUGGUUCGGGAAUAGUAAAAGGAGAAGCACAUAAGCCCUAAUUAGGAGGUGCGAGAGUGAGAUGGUUCGGGAAUGGUAAAAGGAGAAGCACAUAAGCCCUAAUUAGGAGGUGCAAGAGCCUGAGAGGUUAACCUUGGUGGGUAUGGGNNNNNNNNNNNNNNNNNNNNNNNNNNNNNNNNNNNNNNNNNNNNNNNNNNNNNNNNNNNNNNNNNNNNNNNNNNNNNNNNNNNNNNNNNNNNNNNNNNNNNNNNNNNNNNNNNGGUUAACUUUGGUGGGUAGGGGGGGGGGGGGUAGAGGUAGGCCAAAGAUGUCUUGGGGAGAGGUGAUUAGGCGACAAUGGUGCAGUUGGAGCUUGCUGAGGAUAUGAACCUUGAUAGGAGGGUGUGGAGGUCGAGGGUUGCGGUAGAAGGUUAGCAGGUAGUCGAGUGUUUCCCUUUUGUCUUCCUUCGUUUGUCAGUGUUAGUUUGUUAUCCCUUUAUUCUUAGAUUGCCAUUACUACCAUUUAAUUGCUACCUUGGCUUCGGUCCUCUUUUUUAUCUUGUCGUUAGUACUUGUUGCCAUUACUUUUUUAUCUUUUGUUUAGCCGAUGGUCUUUCAUGUUAGUUUUUUAUCCCUUUAUUCUUAGAUUGCUAUUACUGCCGUUUCAUUGCUACCUUGGCUUCGAUCCUCUUUUUAUCUUGUUGCUGUUAAUACAUGUUGCCAUUACCUUUUUUAUCUUUUGUUUAGCGAUCUUUCAGAAACUAACCUCUUUGCCCUGCGGGUUAAGGGUAAGGUUGCACACAUCUCAUCCCCGGGAUGACCCCCUGACACCACCCCCACUUGUGGGAACUCUCUGGCUUGUUGUUGUUGUUAGAUAUAGAGGUUCCGUCUUCCGGAAAAUGGCUAGACGCAGAUGUAAAACAAAAUCAAAAUAGAGGAUUAGGUUGGGGGGNNNNNNNNNNNNNNNNNNNNNNNNNNNNNNNNNNNNNNNNNNNNNNNNNNNNNNNNNNNNNNNNNNNNNNNNNNNNNNNNNNNNNNNNNNNNNNNNGGGGGGGGGGGGGUUGAUGCGAUGCAAUAGGAGGAUGUUUGUCAAAGUGAAACAAAUCCUCCUACAGAAUUGUUGUAAUACCAACAUGUUUCAGGGAACUGAAAUGUUGGGCUGAACAUAUCAAUAGGAUUUGUUGCAGACAUUAAGAUGGAUGUGCUGCCAGCAUAAUUAGGCAAGACUAGGCAUGAUCACCAUUAACAAGAGCAAAGACUGACCGAGAUGGUAUGAUAAUAUCUUCCACCUCCAAAUCUACUCAUUCGUGUGUGACAAUGUGAUGAUUAAAGCUGUUAACUAAAGUCACAUGGAGCAAACUAUAAAAAACUUUAAAUCUCUUGGGAUUCAUGCGGAUUACCGAAGAACAGAACAUAGUGGAAGCAAAUUAUUCAGAUAGUUGAUACCAACUAGUUGAUAUUAAGGUCUAUUCAUUGUUAGUUUCAUAUUGCAUAGUCCGGUAUUUGUAAGUAUUCUUUUGAGUUCGGUAGCCAAUCUCAACUAGUUUGUGAUUGUACUGUUGUAUAAGUUCAUUCUGUAUUUUCUUUGAUAUUAGUGCUCUCUAAAGUAGCCAAUGGUUGUAUAUUUUUCUCUGUUAGUGGAUUCUCUACCUUUUAAUUCUGGUCUCCAAUAAAAUAUUUUUUAACAGGUAUGCUUGCCAUCAGUAGUGAAAGAAUUUCUUCGGUUGGCAAAAGUAACUAAUCUUGAUGUGCCUGAUAACUUUGUAUCAAGUGGUCUGCUCGAGUCCGAUCUUUCAAUCUCUUUUGGUGGUAGAGAGAGGCUUGACAUGUUUUUCCCAUUUGAUCCUUGUCUGCUAUUGAGAUCUGACAGGUUUUUUUCUACAUUGGACUAUUGACUACUUCUCAAGUGCAUUAAUUUGGUUGAUCUUGAUUGGAUAUUCAAGUACCUUAGGAGAUAAUAUUUGUUCUGCUAUUCAUAUUAAUUAGUAUGUUCUUAUGUCUCAUCUUGUUAUAUGUUUUGGAAGAUUCAUCCGGCCAAACUUUGUGUACUGGUCAAUGGUUCGGAGCUCAUAUGACAAUGAUGAGGAUGAUGAUGAGGGUACUAGUGAUGAAGACGAUAUUGAAAUCUGUACUGCAGGGAAGGGGAUGAAUAUAGCCAAUGGAGUCGACCGAAGUUAUGAUCAGGAUCUUGAUGAAUUUGAUAAUGAAAUGAGCAAAAUGUCCAUAACACCUAAAGUUGCUCAAUGGUUUGGAGGUGAAUUACGACCUGAGAUGCAGAUGCCUUCAAGAAUCAGACCUUGUCCCGAGUCCUUGUAGAGAUUAAUCUCCUCCGUUUGAUUGUCAUUAAAGAGGAAAAGCUUGCCCUUGCAUGACAAGUGUCCGAUCCGAGAUGCAGAUGCCUGCAAGAAUCAGACCUUGUCCUGAGUCCUUGUAGAGAUUAAUCUCCGCCGUUUGAUUGUCAUGAUAUAGGAAAAGCUUGCCCUUGCAUGACAAGUGUGACCAUAUGUCAUUAAGAGUUGGAAAUGCUUGUCCUUCACCGCGGUGGCCUUGACCAAGACGUGAAGAUAAUGCGAUAUUCGUUGGACCCGGGGAUUCGUGAGGCAUCCACUCUGCCUUCCACACCCCAUGAAAUGUUAGAGGUCAAUUUUUGUAUUUAUAGCAAAAGCUAUUUGUAAUAUGUAGCAGUUGUUCCCAUUAUCAGAACUAAUGGUGAAAAUAGAUAAAAUUCUCUUGUAUUUUCUUGUUGGUGUUAAUACAUUACGAGGCUACGCGCCCAAUAUAAGUGUGUCAAUAUUUGGAAAUGUAAUGCUCCAGGUGGCGAGUGCAAAACAACUAUAUUUUCUCUAAUCUCAUUUGAUUUGUAUCACAGUUAUUUAUUUUUCCACCCUUAAAAUUUAGUGCUGAUACUAUACGG
rnacentral:lncRNA from 1 species